CGCCCUGUCAUCACCGUCACCCGCCAUCGCUGUGUGUCACCCUCACCCACUUUGUUCUGUGACCGCUCUGUCAUCACUUUCACCCGCCAUCGCUGUGUGUCACCCUCACCCCCAUUGUUCUGUGACAGCCCUGUCAUCACCAUCACCCGCCAUUGCUGUGUGUCACCCUCACCCCUAUUGUUCUGUCACCGCCCUUUCAUCACCGUCACCCGCCAUCGCUGUGUGUCACCCUCACCCCAUUGUUCUGUCACAGCCCUGUCAUCACCGUCACCCGCCAUCGCUGUGUGUCACCCUCACCCCAUUGUUCUGUGACAGCCCUGUCAUCACCGUCACCCGCCAUCGCUGUGUGUCACCCUUACUCCCAUUGUUCUGUGACCGCCCUGUCAUCACUGUCACCCGCCAUCGCUGUGUGUCACCCUCACCCACAUUGUUCUGUGACCGCCCUGUCAUCACUGUCACCCGCCAUCGCUGUGUCACCGUCACCCCCAUUGUUCUGUCACAGCCUUGUGAUCACCGUCACCCGCCAUCGCUGUCACCCUCACCUCCAUUGUUCUGUGACAGCCCUGUCAUCACCAUCACCCGCCAUCGCUGUGUGUGUCACCCUCACCCCCAUUGUUCUGACACCGCCCUUUCAUCACCGUCACCCACCAUCUGUGUGUGUCACCCUCACCCCCAUUGUUCUGUGGCCGCCCUGUCAUCACCGUCACCCGCCAUCGCUGUGUGUAACCCUCAUCCACAUUCUUCUGUGACCGCCCUGUCAUCACCAUCACCCGCCAUCGCUGUGUGUGUCACCCUCACCCCCAUUGUUCUGACACCGCCCUUUCAUCACCGUCACCCACCAUCUGUGUGUGUCACCCUCACCCCCAUUGUUCUGUGGCCGCCCUGUCAUCACCGUCACCCGCCAUCGCUGUGUGUAACCCUCAUCCACAUUCUUCUGUGACCGCCCUGUCAUCACCAUCACCCGCCAUCGCUGUGUGUCACCCUCAUCCACAUUGUUCUGCCCCUCACCCGGGGCAGCACUUUGAAAUUCCAAAU
rnacentral:lncRNA from 1 species